AAAAAAAGAACAGAAAAAAAGCCCAAAAAUAGCUUCCAUACACAGUCCACCCCAGUGUAAAAAUGCAGAAGUUCAGAGGGAGCUUUAUCACUUCCUGAGAAAGAACAGAUGCAGUUUGGUUUCAUUUACAUGAACUGUAGAGGCUCCUUGUGUUAGCCAGGCUGCUUUAUUUCCUUUUUAUUCCCUUCUUUCUCUUAAAUAUUGGUUUCUGCUUAGGCGAAGGAUCAAGUUGAAGCAUUUCACUCUGCUUGUGAGGAAGCCGCAUCCUUGAAAUGCAAGUUAGAGGAAGCCAUUUCUGAGCAGCAGAAACUCAAGGAUGUGAAUGAAGCUUUAACAAGCACUUGCCAGUUGCUUCAAGAAAAGGUGGAAUACCAGAAAAUGCUGUGCAGAGCUAGAUUCUGACUACAGUGUGCUGCCCUCAUCAACUGAGCUGGUAAAAGAUAAGCAGCUCCAUUGCUCUAAGCGACGGUGGAGUGAAGGAGACACCUUGGGCACUGAACUUCCCCGGGUACUGCCCUCAGAUGUUUCAUACUGGCAUAGUACACUUCUGCUAGGUAAGACCUGAUGGUGUUGGCCAUUUUGCCCUUGCUCCUGAAAUACAAAGAGUUGAUAGAACAGCAUCAAUGGU
ensembl:lncRNA